rnacentral:lncRNA from 1 species
AAAAUUUUAUUAAGAUAAAAGUGAAUGAAUUCCAGAAUGAAAGUACAUUGCGCUUAAAUAGAAGAGAAAGCAGGCGAAGAGUCAUGCUUAGAAAAUCACUAAAAGACAUAAAUGUUUUUGACUGAAAUAAUGAAAAGUUUGAAUGAUCCUUCGGCUGGCCCUUGACCGACUUUUGAACUUCUUAGCCAAAAAUGACUCCUAAGCUUCCGUCCCAUGAACCUAUGUCGAGAGGUGGGCAAUGGACUUAACCUCGUUAAAAUCCCACCCGGUAAAUCCUUUGAGACAAACCCGAGUGUAAGGAAAAAGAGUAUUAAGCUGUCACCCAGACUAGAUUAGCUACAGCCGGCGUUCAUGAGCACGGUCACAAUUUUGGGUGAUGCUGGGUCGCCUGGUCCAUCCUUGAUCCCAUUAAACACAGCUUGAACCGCCCCUACCAGCUUCUUAGCCCUGGAUCGCGUCAUGGGUUCUUCAGGUACGGCCAAAUGGACUUCCAAAACCUCAAUUUCUUUAUAUGGCUAAUGCUCUGGGUCCAUGAUCGUAUCACAUUCAUCGAGGAUGCUUAAAUCUUUUUCUGUCAGCUCAGUAUCAUUCUUCUCACCAUCCACUCUGUCUCCCCAAUCGGUUGGAACCGAUUCCAUUCCAAAAACACUCUUAUCCUCAGUAUCAGUAAUCGGAUCUGAAACGGGGUCGAGAGGAGAGGAAACAUGAGGCAGAAGAAGCUCAUCAAAACGUGGAGAAAGAUUUGCACCGGAAGCUGAACCAAUUUCCAAAAGCUUUGGGGAGGAAUCAAAGUCUCCAGCAUCGCUGUUAUCAUCAUCCUCACCCUGAACGACAGCCUUCCUUUUUACUUUAUCCAAAAGGUCCACUUCGUGGGCAAUCGCUGGAGGAGGGUGAGAUGGUUUCGAGAUACGCAGAGCAGGCUGGUGUCGGGAAUUUCGGGGAUUCUCCCAAUGAUCAAAAAUCGGAUCCACUCUAGGUGGAGAGCGAUUACGGUUGGAGGAAGGUUUCAUCCUUUGAGAUCCAUUCUGAGAAUGAGAAAAGGCCCUUCCUGGUCGUCUCUCUGUGAAGAUCUUGACCGGAGACAACAGAAUCCUGAGUGCGAUGCUUCCUCGGGCCGGUAGAGAAUUGAAAAGAGGUCUCCCGGUGCUGGGGAAAAGACUGUUCUCGCUCACCACUCAGUCGAUGCCAGACUGAUCCUCUUCUGUACUCUGGCGGCCCUCACCAUCACCUCAGUACAAACUGCGGCGAACAGAUCUCUGAGCGAGAGAGCGAGAGGAGUGGAGAUCUUCCUUCACAGAAGUGGCACUGGAGGUAGGGUUCUGGCGAGGGUUCCGUUCACGGCGGGGAAGGUCCCGAUCAGAUCUGUCAGUCCUAAAGCCACGACGGUCAUUUCGGAAGCGACUUCUCUCUUUGCGAGAAUCACAAAGGUUCCGGUCUUUCCGCUGCUGCGAGGCAAGUCUCCGCUCUCUGUUUAUGCAACGCUCGCUCUUUGACAGAAUAGGGUAGGAGCUAUCCUUGUGGGAGAUUAGGUGACAAGUAAAGCAGUACCGAAAAAGCUUAUCAUACUCAAGAGAGACUGUUAUUUCAUCCCCAUUGUCAAACUUAACCUUCUUAAAUUUUAAAGGUCUUGUGACAUCAACAAUCACCUAACACACGACCUUUUUUGUCAUCCACUUUUUUAACUAUCCCCAGAGCAUCGCCAAUCCUCAUGAAAGCAUCUUCCACCCAGUAGUGGAGAGGAACUCCUCGAACAAGAACCCAGAAGGUGACAGAACUCGGGAAAUCAUCCUGGAUGUGCGGUUCUCACCUCUCAAGAGAAAAUGUCCAUUUGUUGAAGUGACAUGGUCGUUUCUUGAAAACGUUCUGAAGGUCCUCCUCUGUAUCAAAGUCAAAAUGAAAGCGGCCAUUUCCAAUAUCCACACCACGAACACGGCCUGCGACAUCCUAGAUACCAGCUCAAGGCAUAAAAGCCAAGAGAGCCUCGGUAUCCCUGCCUCCAGUGUGAAAGGAUCUUCCGAUAAGAGUAAGUUGGAAUCUUAUUAUUAAAGCAGAGUUGUCGAAGGCUGGAAUCAACACCGAUUCGUCCUCAUCGUUGGAGGAAUUCGCACAGGCAGCUUCGUCAUUCGAGAGUCGUUUCAUUUUCCUGAGAGAGAAGCAGAGAAAACAGAGAAAAACAGAACGAGAGGGGAAGUGAAAUGGUUUUGUUUUUUGAAACAAGAGAGAAAGAAAACAACGAAGGGAAAUGAGGGGUGGGUUUAAGAGAGGCGAAAAGAAAGGGAGAAAUCUGAGCUAGAAGAGACCCAGAUCUAAGAUAUUUGGUAGGAGGAAGGGAAACAGGGAACAAGGACAGCCCAGAUCUGUCGGAAAAUCAAAGGCAAGCUCAUCCUUCGAAGAUGUCCGUACAGAGUGGCUAGAGAGAAAAGUCCGUACAGCUUAGAGCGAACUCUGUGUUUCUCAUACGUUUCUGAUGAUUAUGGGAAUGCUUGAACACCCUUACUUUAAAUAGCAAAACUCUAAAUGUUUCAUAGAUUAGUCCAAGUUUCAACUCAUGAUCUAUUCCAGUUAUCAGAAAAUGUACUAUUGAAAAUGGUAUAAUUCAUAUAUAGAAUAAGUUUCAAUCGGAUCUUUCAUUCCCUUCUCUUUGUAGCUAAGAAGGCUUCCUAGUCUGAAAGAGUCUUUCAAAUCAAUGAAGAUGUAAUAUAUGAAACAAUUUUACAUCACAUCAGAAAUUGUAGCCACAACGUAAAC